CCUGGUGGCGAGUGGCGAAACGGGUUGAGUUAAUAUACUCGGAACGUGCCCGGUCGUGGGGGGAUAACGUAGCGAAAGCUGCGCUAAUACCGCAUACGAUCUACGGAUGAAAUGGGGGAUUCGCAAGAACCUCAUGCUCCUGGAGCGGCCGAUAUCUGAUUAGCUAGUUGGUGGGGUAAAGGCCUACCAAGGCAUCGAUCAGUAGCUGGUCUGAGAGGACGACCAGCCACACUGGAACUGAGACACGGACCAGACUCCUACGGGAGGCAGCAGUGAGGAAUAUUGGACAAUGGGCGCAAGCCUGGAUCCAGCCAUGCCGCGUGCAGGAAUAAGGUCCUAUGGAUUGUAAACUGCUUUAUACAGGAAGAAACACACCCUCGUGAGGGUACUUGACGGUACUGUAUGAAUAAGGACCGGCUAACUCCGUG
rnacentral:rRNA from 1 species